rnacentral:rRNA from 1 species
GCAAGUCGAACGGUGAAGCCAAGCUUGCUUGGUGGAUCAGUGGCGAACGGGUGAGUAACACGUGAGCAACCUGCCCUGAACUCUGGGAUAAGCGCUGGAAACGGCGUCUAAUACUGGAUAUGAGCUGCGGAGGCAUCUUCGUGGUUGGAAAGAUUUUUCGGUUUGGGAUGGGCUCGCGGCCUAUCAGCUUGUUGGUGAGGUAAUGGCUCACCAAGGCGUCGACGGGUAGCCGGCCUGAGAGGGUGACCGGCCACACUGGGACUGAGACACGGCCCAGACUCCUACGGGAGGCAGCAGUGGGGAAUAUUGCACAAUGGGCGGAAGCCUGAUGCAGCAACGCCGCGUGAGGGAUGACGGCCUUCGGGUUGUAAACCUCUUUUAGCAGGGAAGAAGCGGAAGUGACGGUACCUGCAGAAAAAGCGCCGGCUAACUACGUGCCAGCAGCCGCGGUAAUACGUAGGGCGCAAGCGUUAUCCGGAAUUAUUGGGCGUAAAGAGCUCGUAGGCGGUUUGUCGCGUCUGCUGUGAAAUCUGGGGGCUCAACCCCCAGCCUGCAGUGGGUACGGGCAGACUAGAGUGCGGUAGGGGAGAUUGGAAUUCCUGGUGUAGCGGUGGAAUGCGCAGAUAUCAGGAGGAACACCGAUGGCGAAGGCAGAUCUCUGGGCCGUAACUGACGCUGAGGAGCGAAAGGGUGGGGAGCAAACAGGCUUAGAUACCCUGGUAGUCCACCCCGUAAACGUUGGGAACUAGUUGUGGGGUCCAUUCCACGGAUUCCGUGACGCAGCUAACGCAUUAAGUUCCCCGCCUGGGGAGUACGGCCGCAAGGCUAAAACUCAAAGGAAUUGACGGGGACCCGCACAAGCGGCGGAGCAUGCGGAUUAAUUCGAUGCAACGCGAAGAACCUUACCAAGGCUUGACAUACACGAGAACGCUGCAGAAAUGUAGAACUCUUUGGACACUCGUGAACAGGUGGUGCAUGGUUGUCGUCAGCUCGUGUCGUGAGAUGUUGGGUUAAGUCCCGCAACGAGCGCAACCCUCGUUCUAUGUUGCCAGCACGUAAUGGUGGGAACUCAUGGGAUACUGCCGGGGUCAACUCGGAGGAAGGUGGGGAUGACGUCAAAUCAUCAUGCCCCUUAUGUCUUGGGCUUCACGCAUGCUACAAUGGCCGGUACAAAGGGCUGCAAUACCGCGAGGUGGAGCGAAUCCCAAAAAGCCGGUCCCAGUUCGGAUUGAGGUCUGCAACUCGACCUCAUGAAGUCGGAGUCGCUAGUAAUCGCAGAUCAGCAACGCUGCGGUGAAUACGUUCCCGGGUCUUGUACACACCGCCCGUCAAGUCAUGAAAGUCGGUAACACCUGAAGCCGGUGGCCCAACC